UACGGGGGGUGCGAGCGUUGUCCGGAAUCACUGGGCGUAAAGGGCGCGUAGGUGGUUUGAUAAGGGUGUGGUGAAAGUCCGGGGCUCAACCCCGGAUCUGCCGUGCCGACUGUCAAACUCGAGGACUGUAGAGGCAGACGGAAUUCCGGGUGUAGCGGUGGAAUGCGUAGAGAUCCGGAGGAAGACCGGUGGCGAAGGCGGUCUGCUGGGCAGUUUCUGACACUGAGGCGCGAAGGCGUGGGGAGCGAACGGG
rnacentral:rRNA from 1 species